AUCGAACGCUGGCGGCAGGCUUAACACAUGCAAGUCGAGCGGAGCGGCGGACGGGUGAGUAAUGCCUAGGAAUCUGCCUGGUAGUGGGGGAUACCGUCCGGAAACGGGCGUUAAUACCGCAUACUAUCAGAUUAGCCUAGGUCGGAUUAGCUAGUUGGUGGGGUAAAGGCCUACCAGGGCGACGAUCCGUAACUGGUCUGAGAGGAUGAUCAGUCACACUGGAACUGAGACACGGUCCAGACGCCUACGAUAGGGAGCAAUGGGGAAUAUUGCACAAUGGGCGCGAGCCUGAUACAGCGAUGCCGAGUGUAUGAAAAAGGCCUUCGGGUUGUAAAGUCCUUUCAGCGGGGAGGCGUUACCCGCAGAAGAAGCACCGGCUAACUCCGUGCCAGCAGCCGCGGUAAUUC
rnacentral:rRNA from 1 species